UACGUAGGUGGCGAGCGAUACUCGUAAUCACUAGGCGUAAAGCGCAGGUAGGCGGUUCGGUAAGUCUCUUGUGAAAGCUCCUGGCUCAACUGGGAGAGGUCAAGGGAAACUGCCGGACUUGAGUGUGGUAGGGGAUACUGGAAUUCCUGGUGUAGCGGUGAAAUGCGUAGAUAUCAGGAGGAAUACCUAUGGCGAAAGCAGGUAUCUGGGCCAUCACUGACGCUGAGCUGCGAAAGCUAGGGGAGCAAACAGU
rnacentral:rRNA from 1 species